AGAGUUUGAUCCUGGCUCACGAUGAACGCUAGCGGCAGGCUUAAUACAUGCAAGUCGAGGGGUAACAUUGGAGCUUGCUUCAGAUGACGACCGGCGCACGGGUGCGUAACGCGUAUGCAACCUACCUAUUACAUGGGGAUAGCCCGAGGAAACUCGGAUUAAUAUCCAAUAGUAUAAUAAUAUCGCAUGAUAUAAUUAUUAAAGAUUUAUUGGUAAUAGAUGGGCAUGCGUACCAUUAGAUAGUUGGUGAGGUAAUGGCUCACCAAGUCAGCGAUGGUUAGGGGGCCUGAGAGGGUGAUCCCCCACACUGGUACUGAGAUACGGACCAGACUCCUACGGGAGGCAGCAGUAGGGAAUAUUGGUCAAUGGGCGAGAGCCUGAACCAGCCAUGCCGCGUGCAGGAAGACGGCCUUCUGGGUUGUAAACUGCUUUUGACAGGGAAG
rnacentral:rRNA from 1 species